GUGCACCAGGCGAGAAACUUCACACUGUGCGAAAGCACGAUGAGGGAAUCCCAAGUGCUUGCACGUAAGUGUAAGCUGUUUCUCUGUCUAAAACGCAGAGAGAGUAAGGGCUGGGUAAGACGGGUGCCAGCCGCCGCGGUAAUACCUGCAGCUCAAGUGGUGACCGUUAUUAUUGGGCCUAAAACGUCCGUAGCCGGUUUAAUAAAUGCCUGGGUAAAUUGUGUAGCUUAACUAUACGAAUUCCGGGUAGACUGUUAAACUUGAGACCGGGAGAAGUUAGAGGUACUCCUGGGGUAGAGGUGAAAUUCUGUAAUCCUAGGGGGACCACCAGUGGCGAAGGCGUCUAACUAGAACGGGUCUGACGGUGAGGGACGAAGCCCUGGGGCGCAAACGGGGAUUAGAUACCCCGGUAGU
rnacentral:rRNA from 1 species